rnacentral:rRNA from 1 species
GACGAACGCUGGCGGCGUGCUUAACACAUGCAAGUCGAACGGAAAGGCCCUGCUUUUGUGGGGUGCUCGAGUGGCGAACGGGUGAGUAACACGUGAGUAACCUGCCCUUGACUUUGGGAUAAAUUCAGGAAACUGGGGAUAAUACCGGAUAGGAGCUCCUGCUGCAUGGUGGGGGUUGGAAAGUUUCGGCGGUUGGGGAUGGACUCGCGGGUUAUCAGCUUGUUGGUGGGGUAGUGGAGUACCAAGGUUUUGACGGGUAGCCGGCCUGAGAGGGUGACCGGGCACAAUGGGACUGAGAUACGGCCCAGACUCCUACGGGAGGCAGCAGUGGGGAAUAUUGCGCAAUAGGCGGGAGCCUGAGACAACAACGUCGUGUGCGGGAUGACGGCCUUUUGGGUGUAAACCGCUUUCGCCUGAGACGAAGCGUGAGUGACGGUAAUGGGUAAAGAAGCACCGGCUAACUACGUG